rnacentral:misc_RNA from 1 species
GAUGAAGAACGUAGCGAAGUGCGAUAAGUAAUGUGAAUUGCAGAAUUCCGCGAAUCAUCGAAUCUUUGAACGCAAAUUGCACUUUCUGGUAUUCCGGAAAGUAUGCCUGUUUGAGGGUCAGUUAAAUAAAAAUCGGUGUUGUUGCUGCUUUUAGUGGUGACGCGUCGGAAUUGGGUCGUCUUAUCUUCGGUUAAGUGACUUAAAAUUUUUUAUGAUUUUUUGAACGUAUUUAAAUUUUUUUGUACGUUUUGAGAUAUCGUGUUUAUUAGGUUCGGUCAUCUCAUGACUCGCGCCUAUAAUUUUUCAUUAAAUGACCUCAAAUCAGGUAAGAAUACCCGCUGAACUUAAGCAUAUCAAUAAGCGGAGGA